UACGAAGGGGGCUAGCGUUGCUCGGAAUCACUGGGCGUAAAGCGCACGUAGGCGGAUUGUUAAGUCAGGGGUGAAAUCCUGGAGCUCAACUCCAGAACUGCCUUUGAUACUGGCGAUCUCGAGUCCGGGAGAGGUGAGUGGAACUGCGAGUGUAGAGGUGAAAUUCGUAGAUAUUCGCAAGAACACCAGUGGCGAAGGCGGCUCACUGGCCCGGUACUGACACUGAGGAGCGAAAGCCAGGGGAGCAAACGGG
rnacentral:rRNA from 1 species